GAGACUCUGUGCGCGUGCAUAUCAAUAAGCGGAGGAAAAGAAACUAACAAGGAUUCCCUUAGUAACGGCGAGUGAAGCGGGAAGAGCUCAAAUUUGAAAUCUUCAAGGUUUUACCUUGACGAAUUGUAGUUUAAAGAAGUGUUUUCUGUUGGAGUUUUGGUAAAAGUUCUUUGGAAUAGGACAUCAUAGAGGGUGAGAAUCCCGUAUUUGAUCACUUUCUACUAGCUGUUGUGAUACACUUUCAAAGAGUCGGAUUGUUUGGGAAUGCAGUCCAAAAUGGGUGGUAAAUUUCAUCUAAAGCUAAAUAUUGGCGAGAGACCGAUAGCGAACAAGUACCGUGAGGGAAAGAUGAAAAGAACUUUGAAAAGAGAGUUAAACAGUACGUGAAAUUGUCAAAAGGGAAGCGUUUGACACCAGUGUUGUUUUUCCGAAAAUCAAUUAUGAAUGCUUUAUUUUAAGUUUCAUGACCUUAAAAGCUUGUUUCUUAUUUUUCAUGUCUUUCGUAAUGCACUUUUCGGUUAACAAGUCAACAUCAAUUUCUUUUGUUGUAAAAGGUUAAGAGGAAGGUGGCUUUACUUUCGGGUAAAGUGUUUAUAGCCUUUUAACUCUGCAAUCGGAGAGAUUGAGGUCUGCAGCGUAGAUCCUUCGGGGUUAGAUACGUUUGUGCUAAGUUAUAGCUUUUCAUAGACAACUUGUUGACUAUGUUAAGUCUUGUAAUUUACUCGCAGAUGCUAUUUUACCUACGCUUAGGAUGUUGAACUCUAUCACACACAG
rnacentral:rRNA from 1 species